CACCCAGUCGCUGGACCUACCGUGGUUAGCUGGCCUCCUUGCGGGUUAGCGCACUACCUUCGGGUAAAACCAACUCCCAUGGUGUGACGGGCGGUGUGUACAAGGCCCGGGAACGUAUUCACCGCGGCAUGCUGAUCCGCGAUUACUAGCGAUUCCAACUUCAUGCACUCGAGUUGCAGAGUGCAAUCCGAACUGAGAUGGCUUUUGGAGAUUAGCUCACACUCGCGUGCUCGCUGCCCACUGUCA
rnacentral:rRNA from 1 species